UACGUAGGGCGCAAGCGUUGUCCGGAAUUAUUGGGCGUAAAGAGCUCGUAGGUGGCUUGUCACGUCGGGUGUGAAAGCUUGGGGCUUAACUCCAGGUCUGCAUUCGAUACGGGCUGGCUAGAGGUAGGUAGGGGAGAACGAAUUCCUGGUGUAGCGGUGAAAUGCGCAGAUAUCAGGAGGAACACCGGUGGCGAAGGCGGUUCUCUGGGCAUUACCUGACGCUGAGGAGCGAAAGCGUGGGGAGCGAACAGG
rnacentral:rRNA from 1 species